UACGAGGGGUGCAAGCGUUAUUCGGAAUUAUUGGGCGUAAAGGGUGCGUAGGCGGCGUAUUAAGUCAACUGUUAAAACCUCCAGCCUAACUGGAGAUCAGCAGUAGAUACUGGUAUGCUAGAGGAUGGAAGAGAGAAGUGGAAUUCUUGGAGUAGCGGUGGAAUGCGUAGAUCUCAAGAGGAACACCAAUGGCGAAGGCAGCUUCUUGGUCCAUAUCUGACGCUGAUGCACGAAAGCGUGGGGAGCAAACAGG
rnacentral:rRNA from 1 species